rnacentral:rRNA from 1 species
UACGUAGGGUGCGAGCGUUUAAUCGGAAUUACUGGGCGUAAAGCGUGCGCAGGCGGUGAUGUAAGACCGAUGUGAAAUCCCCGGGCUUAACCUGGGAACUGCAUUGGUGACUGCAUCGCUCGAGUAUGGCAGAGGGGGGUAGAAUUCCACGUGUAGCAGUGAAAUGCGUAGAGAUGUGGAGGAAUACCGAUGGCGAAGGCAGCCCCCUGGGUCAAUACUGACGCUCAUGCACGGAAGCGUGGGGAGCAAACAGG